GAUUAUGGCUCAGGAUGAACGCUGGCGGCGUGCCUAACACAUGCAAGUCGAGCGGAGAUAUAGAGAGAUUCUUCGGAUACUUCCUUAUCUUAGCGGCGGAUGGGUGAGUAACACGUGGGUAACCUGCCCUGCACAGGGGGAUAACAGCUGGAAACGGCUGUUAAUACCGCAUAUGCACACGCUGCCGCAUGGCAGAGGGUGGAAAGAUUUAUCGGUGCAGGAUGGGCCCGCGUCGGAUUAACUAGUUGGCAGGGUAACGGCCUACCAAGGUUAUGAUCCGUAGCCGACCUGAGAGGGUGACCGGCCACAUUGGGACUGAGACACGGCCCAAACUCCUACGGGAGGCAGCAGUGGGGGAUAUUGCACAAUGGGCGAAAGCCUGAAUGCAGCGACGCCGCGUGAAGGAAGAAGUAUUUCGGUAUGUAAACUUCUAUCAGCGGGGAAGAAGAUGACGGUACCCGACUAAGAAGCCCCGGCUAACUACGUGCCAGCAGCAGC
rnacentral:rRNA from 1 species